CCUACGGGCGGCACCAGUGGGGAAUAUUGCACAAUGGGCGCAAGCCUGAUGCAGCCAUGCCGCGUGUGAAGAAGGCCUUCGGGUUGUAAAGCACUUUCAGCGGGGAGGAAGGCGAUAAGGUUAAUAACCUUGUCGAUUGACGUUACCCGCAGAAGAAGCACCGGCUAACUCCGUGCCAGCAGCCGCGGUAGUACGGAGGGUGCAAGCGUUAAUCGGAAUUACUGGGCGUAAAGCGCACGCAGGCGGUCUGUCAAGUCGGAUGUGAAAUCCCCGGGCUCAACCUGGGAACUGCAUUCGAAACUGGCAGGCUAGAGUCUUGUAGAGGGGGGUAGAAUUCCAGGUGUAGCGGUGAAAUGCGUAGAGAUCUGGAGGAAUACCGGUGGCGAAGGCGGCCCCCUGGACAAAGACUGACGCUCAGAUGCGAAAGCGUGGGGAGCAAACAGGAUUAGAUACCCGGGUAGUC
rnacentral:rRNA from 1 species